rnacentral:rRNA from 1 species
UACAGAGGUCCCAAGCGUUGUUCGGAUUCACUGGGCGUAAAGGGUGCGUAGGUGGCCAGGUAAGUUUGGUGUGAAAGCUCGGAGCUUAACUCGGAAAUGGCAUUGGAAACUGUUGGACUAGAGGAUUGGAGGGGAGACUGGAAUUCUCGGUGUAGCAGUGAAAUGCGUAGAUAUCGAGAGGAACACCAGUGGCGAAGGCGAGUCUCUAGACAAUUCCUGACGCUGAGGCACGAAAGCUAGGGGAGCAAACAGG